rnacentral:lncRNA from 1 species
GGGGUCAUGUCUUGGAUGCAAGGGUACGUCGCCCGAACCAUGGCCGCCAUUGAGUCUCUGCUAGUCCUCAUCAACUUAAUUCAGUGAGUCUGCAUAGUUCUUGGAGACCACGGUGAUGCUACAACAUGGUCAUGAAGGUGAAUUCAGAAACUCAUAUCUAGAGUUGUGAGUGUCCGUUUUGAAUGAGGUUGGUGACGUUUGAAAAAUUAUGUUGGCACUUACAAUUCCUGUGAAAUGGACCAAGACCAAAUUCCAACGUUUAUAGAUAGUCAAAAAAACAUGUCAAAGUUGACAAGAAAAAUCGAAAUUUCACAUGAAAGCUAGUCAACAAUUGGCCAACACUUUCUAGUCCCACAUGGGUCAAGUCUCUCUAAAGAAGAUCGAACUCACCAAUCAUAUUUUGAAAUAGAUGGUAUUUUAGAAAAAGCUAAUAUACUGGUUCCACAAAUACUGCCGAAUAUUCCCGCAUACAGUGAUCUGGCGGCAAUAUCAACUUGACUCUAAAUAUGUACAUCCGAGUUUGAUUGAAUAGAAGUCAUCGGGAAUAGGUAACUAGAACCUAGGGCUAGAUACAUGAGAGGGCACAUCUCAACCACCGCCUCAGUCACCACCGGAUGCUCUGUCUCCAUGAGGUUAGCUGCACCCUCAGUCUAAUGAGUCUCUUCCUCCAAAGCGUUCACAAAAUUCUCAACCUAAUUUUGGCUUAUUAGAAAAAAAAAUUCCCCAGCUUGAUGAGCCUCGUCCUUGAUUCACAACGUUCACAACCCCCUCAGCUGAUGAGCCUCUUCCUCCACCAUAUAAAUGUGUGUAGUUCCAUAAGUGCAAACAACUCUUCACUCAACAAAAAUAACAAGUAAUGUCUGAAAUGCACUCUCUAAUCUUAUAUAACCAAACCGCUCCCCCAAGUUUGUUAGAACUUUUGAGUUUGUUUUGGUUAAAUAUGUUUUUGUCCUCGAUUAAUACACUCUGAUCGAAAAUAGAUUUUAUAAAAAAAUCAUAUUUUUUAGUACCUGACACAUGUUGUUUGAUUGGAAAAAGUCUUUAUGACAUCAUAAAGCAUUCUAAAAAUAUUUUUAACCCAACCACUAUGUACAAGUGACUGCUUGUUAUUUUCAUAUCAGUUUUAGUCUUUAAAAUUUUAUUUUCAUCAAAUUUAGUCAUAAUCCAUUUUUUCGUGUUCUUCCUCUUCCUCCUCCCACAAUAUUGCAUUUCUAUAUUGACUAAAUCAAAUUUAUGCAUGGUGUUUCUUUGGUUUGAAAAAUUAGUUUAAUUUUUAUGUACACUCACACUGUAAAAAGUUUUACACGUGCAGCUAAUAACAUCUCUUCAUUUCUUAUUUUAAAUUCAAAAUGCACUAUCAUUUUUUAUUUUCACUUUCUCUAACAACGUUUUCAAUAUUUUUUUAGGAAAAUUAAGCCAAUAUUUUACAUUAUUAAUAGUGACUAUAACUUAAUUAUUAUUAUUUCAAAAGCUAAAGAAAAUAAAUAAAUGCUUAUUUUCUUUAUUUGUUCUUACCAAAAUAGUGACUAUACUUUGAGUGUUAUUUUAAAAACUAAUUAUUUUAAUUGAGUGAUUUUUAUAAAAUAAAAUAAAAUGAAGUCGUCCACACAAGAGCAACGUUUUCUAUUCACACAUACAUGUUAUGGUAAACUUUUCAUCUUCUUGUGCUUCAAGACCCUUAUCAAUUCCUAGCUCUGAUAUUUAUUAUCAUGAAGUAAUUUGUUAUUUGUACUAAAAGUAAUUUACUAGGGCUUCGGAUAAUAUCUUUGGUUCAAUUGCGGUAGGUGACAGAUCUAAUAUUGUAAAAAGUGAGAUUCAGAAUCUUUAUCUUAAAUCUCUAUACUCUUUAACUUCGAGUUAGAGGGGUCAAUUUGAAAUUCUUCGAGCAAAUGCUUCUGGUGAACUUUAUGACGUGUUUGAGGUCAUCCCUUCAUGUGUUGUGAGCUGGAAAGCAUAUGAACUUUCAAACAAAAUACCCUCAAUUCUUCAACUGGAAUCACUUCCUUUGUUGAAUAUCUUGACCUAUUUAUUUCAAAAUGAUCAUCAUAGCAUCCAAGAUAUUGCAUUGAAUUUCAUUCGAUCAUAUAAUGAUGAUACCGAGAGGGUAAGAAAGAACUUAAAUAAAGUCUUAUAUGGAUGCUCAACAAUUAUUGUUACGGACUUCUAUAAGUGGAGCAGAGUUGUUGGUGUUCACCUCAAAUCAACUUAACAUUGACUCAAAUGAAGUUUUCCUCUAUGGAGUCUUUUGCAGCCAAAAUAUAAUGGAUGAAUACCUAACAUGGAGCAUAUAUAGAGCUUGAUUUUUUCAAAGAGUAUAUUGUUCCCAUGAAAGGGCAAUUUAACCCAAUUUUUGUCAAGGGUCAUUUAGACAACCCCAUUCAUGGAACAAACAAUAUAAUAUUUGAGAAAAUCAAGCUACAUAUAUGCUUCAUGUUAGGUAUUCAUCCAUUAUAUUUCGGUUGCAAAGACUCCCUAGAGGAAAACUCUAUGUUAAGUUGAAUUGAGGUGAACACCAACAACUUUGCUCCACUUAUAGAAGUCUGUAACAAUGAUUCUUGAGCAUCCAUAAACUUAAAUACUCUAUUUAAGUUCUUUUUUGCCCUCUCAGUAUCAUCAUCAUUAUAUGAUGGAAUGAAAUUUAAUGCAAUAUCUUGGAUGCUAUGAGGAUAAUUCUGAAAUAAAUAAGUCAAGAUAUUCAACAAAGGAAGUGGUUCUAGUUGAAGAAUUGAGGACAUUUUGUUUGAAAGUUCAUAUGCUUUCCUGUUUCCAACACAUGGAGGGAUGACCUCAAAUACGUCAUAGAGUUCACUAGAAGCAUUUGACCGAAGAAUUUCAAAUUGACACGUCCAACUAGAAGUUAAAGAUGAUAGAGAUUUAUGAUAAGGAUUAUGAAUCUCACUUUUUACAAUAUUAGAUUAUUCACCUCCCGCAAUUGCACCAAAGAUAUUACCUGAAACAUCAAUAGGUAAAUUACUUUUAGUGCAAGUAACAAUUACUUCAUAAUAACCAAUAUCAGAGUCAGAAUUUGAUAAGGGUCUCGAAGCAUAAGAAAAUGAAUAGUUUAUCAUAACAUGUAUGUGUGAAUAGAAAAUGUCACUCCUGUGUGGACGACUUCAUUUUAUUUUAUUUUUAUAAAAAAUCAUUCAAUUAAAAUAAUUAUUUUUCAAAAUAACACUCAAAAAAUAAAGUCACUUUUAUUUGUAAGAACAAAUAAAAAAAAUAACUUUCGAAAUAAUAACAAUUAAGUUAUGUCUAAUUCAAUUGUGUUACCAAACUCCAUAUAAUUAAAUCUGGUAUCAAUCCCGGUUGCUUAAGUUUUGUAUACGAGAUUAAUUCUCGUAAGACCUCAUUGAUUGUCUUUGCCAGAUCUCCCGAAUGCCUUCAACAAGGAGGCCAAGAAGAAGAGCGAACAAAACGGAUUCAGAAAACAUGGAAAUAGACUAUAGUUGUUGCCUUCCUAAUCAAAUGGGGAAAACUCAGAGUAUUCAAGACUUACCCAAUUUAUAGUUCUUGGGGAAAUUGAGAAGCCCACCUCCUUAGUGAUUCUCCUGAAAGCAUUGCUUGGUGCAUAUUAUAAUUACUGUUCAAUGAUUAAGAAGUAGCCAAUAACACAAUACAAAAGUAGAAGAUCAUUUUCAAGAAAAAGAAUAACAUUUUAAAAAAGCUAAAUUAGAAUUGUGAAGUGUCGAACCAGACAAACAAAACAAGCAAGUUAACAAGUAAAACAACCCUUAUUAUGCAGCAAAUUAAAAGACAAAGAUCACCCUAUUAUGAAGCAAAUUGACAGACAACCAACCUACUAUGCAGAAAAUUAAAAGAUCACCUUACUAAUUACUAUGCAGCAAAAAACAUGAAGAAAGGCUAAAAUUGAUAUGCAACAAAUGAAUACUGAGCAAGGUAAAACUUUAAAUAAACGAAACAGCAAGUUGAACAUGUCAAUUUAAAUAAAUUGAACAGCAGUUUGGACAACUUCAUGCAUUUCGAGAUUUGUUCUAUUUGAUCAUACUUUCCUAUCUUUCACUGAAUGCACAUUUGUUAGCAGUAUUUUUUUUUAUAAGCCAAGCAAUUGUAUUCAAAUAUAACACAAGGGGUGCUAACCCAAAUAAAAUAGUAAGAAAUAUACAAAAAGAAAAGUUCAGAUCAUAGGUAUAAGAAAUGAAUAGACUAAUAAAAGAAGGAUAAAAGAGGACACCAAGCUAGAAAAAUUUUAAUACCAGCGACCCAAUUCCCUCUUAAACGUUUAAGCCUUUGUCCAGAGGCCAUGCUUCCACAAACAGAUAUCAGGAAGAGCAUUCCAUUCUUCUGAAAUCACACAGAGAUCCAGCUAAGACCAAUGGACACAGGGUCAACCUCCAGAAAAUUUAGAAAUUACCCUUCCCAAUGCUUUUAUGCACCAGAUAGGAUUCAAGAUCCAGUCUGAAGUACACGCAGAGAAACUUCUCCUCUUCGCUUUCAGCCAACGCCAUGUGCCCAUGUCUUGAACUGGACCAAUUCUAGAAUGCUCUCAAUUUCCACCUCUUCACCCCUAAAAACACCUUAUUGCGAUGAAAUAAUCUAGUGCUAUCAUUCAUGACCACUUGAAGUAUUAUAUUAACGAUAAUAGUUCCUAAACUAAUCAAACUUUUCUACGUACUGCUAUCCUUCGUCACUAUUCACCAGACAUAAUAGAUAGUUAAGAUUCUAAAUGAAUUAAAAUCUAUUAAGUAUGGUAACUUAUCAAUUUAAUCACAAGAAAUUUUGCAUCAAAACUUAUUUGUGAUUCUUAAACAAACCGAAAACAAAUAAAACAGAGAACCAACCAAUUCUAACCUCCAUUCACGCCACCGCAAGGCCACCUCCAACCUCGUCACGCCUGAACCAUGUUGCGCCGCAAACCACCGACGCUCGCUCUUUCACAUCCCUCACUAUCUAUGUUCC